GAGAAUGCAUCUGUCUAAUCCCUGUUCUCUUUCUGUUGCCUAAAGGGGUCUUUGACACAUGGUGUUUAUAGAGCAAAUGAAUGAAGCCAAGGAAUGAAUGAAUGAGCUCUCCAUCGGAAUGGUGGGAGGAAGAGGCAGUGUCUACUUGGAGAAGUGGAAAAAAGUGGUAACUGAAGCAGGAUAUGCCAGAGAUCUCCACUUUAGCCACUGAGUGCAGGUGAAAAGGCUCUCAGAAGAAAAUCAACAGUAGCAAAGACAAAGGCUGCCUGGAUUCUGGACAUGUGCCUCUUGCUGUACGAUUGUGGGGACCCCAGAGAUCAUCUGUACGGGUGGAUCUGAUGCCCCACCUCCACACCUCGGUGUCCUGCAGUCCUGAGUUUCGAGGGAAAUGCAAUGGGCUCAAGACUCUACCAAAGAUGCCACAGUCUUUCCAAGGAAGGAGCUCUUGCGUAUGGAUGGAACUCAUGACCUCCCACCUGCCAGGUAGGAGCUCAUGCUGGUGAAAAAAGGACUGUCAACCACGAAUUCUACGUCUGAGAAAAUUAUUCUUCAAAAAUAAAGGGGUAAUAAAUGUUUUAGGUGAAGAAAAAUGAAGAAACCUGUGUUGCUUGUAGAUAUCACUGUAAAGGAUGGCUGGAGGACAUUUUCAAGGAAAAGAUAGCAGAAGAAGGCUUAGAACCACAGAAGGGAAAGGGUGACGAAGUGGAUUUAAAACAUUUCCAAAAUGUGAUGCAGUAAAUAAAAC